rnacentral:rRNA from 1 species
GACGAACGCUGGCGGCGUGCUUAACACAUGCAAGUCGAACGAAGUGGCGAACGGGUGAGUAACGCGUAAACAACCUGCCCUUCAGAGGGGGACAACAGUUGGAAACGACUGCUAAUACCGCAUACUGAAGGAGGGGUUUGAGUCUGAUUAGCUAGUUGGAGGGGUAACGGCCCACCAAGGCGAUGAUCAGUAGGCGGUCUGAGAGGAUGAACGGCGCCAUUGGGACGGAGGCACGGCCAAGACGCCUACGGGAGGCAGCAGUGGGGAAUCGUCCGCAAUGGACGAAAGUCUGACGGAGCAACGCCGCGGUAGUGAUGACGGCCUUCGGGUUGUAAAGAUCUGUUAAUCGGGACGCGGUACCGGAAUAGAAAGCCACGGCUAACUACGUGCCAGCAGCCGCGGUAAUAC